rnacentral:lncRNA from 1 species
AUGUGCCUUGCAGAACUGUUCAAGAAAUUCCCAAAACACAUGCUUUGCAACCAUACAAGAUGCAAGUUUUAUAAAGUUUAUCUGAGGGUGAUCCUGACCAGCCUUAUGAGAAACAAGGCAUCGAAUGUAUCAGGUUUCAACACGCAUGGGAAAAAGAUAUAUUCAUGGAAUGUGCCUUUGAACCUGCAUUCAAAAGAACUCAGACAGAGACUGAGGACAAAAUCAGCCGCAGGUCCUCAAGGAAUCUUCAUGGUUAAGAGGAAGGGGAGACCUUGCUCUUUUGCCGCUGCACAAAGGAGGGAAGAACUGAACAGUGGUCCACGAGGAAAGCCUAGCGUCUUAUGUAACCAGUGGUGA